UCGAACUCUAACAGACUUCUUUAUUUGGGAAGUCACAGAGGUAGAAGUCAGUGGCAGAAGAAACAGGCUCAGUAGAAAAGUUACAGAGGCAAAAGAAGAGCCCUUGGACCUUAGGAGAGGAAAAGGUGAAGCAACUACUGCAGGAUAUGCUUCACACAGAUGAGGAAGUAAACUGAGGAGGAGGAAGCCACAAGACUCUGAAAUCUGGACACCUAACAAAGAGAGAGGAUGAUGGGUGGCAAGGAGAAGUCUUAGAAAGACAAUUGUGCAGCUGGUCUGGAAAGAAACCAGAACAGAUUGGAGCAAAAACAAGGAAGGCAGUAGAAAAAAAGAAUACAGAAAAACAAAAAAAGGUCAUUUUGCUGCAUCAGCACUUGUCCAGUAUCCAGUGGCUGGAGGAUAUGAUGGUCUAUCGCAAAG